rnacentral:rRNA from 1 species
GAUGAACGCUGGCGGCGUGCCUAAUACAUGCAAGUCGAGCGAACGGACGAGAAGCUUGCUUCUCUGAUGUUAGCGGCGGACGGGUGAGUAACACGUGGAUAACCUACCUAUAAGACUGGGAUAACUUCGGGAAACCGGAGCUAAUACCGGAUAAUAUUUUGAACCGCAUGGUUCAAAAGUGAAAGACGGUCUUGCUGUCACUUAUAGAUGGAUCCGCGCUGCAUUAGCUAGUUGGUAAGGUAACGGCUUACCAAGGCAACGAUGCAUAGCCGACCUGAGAGGGUGAUCGGCCACACUGGAACUGAGACACGGUCCAGACUCCUACGGGAGGCAGCAGUAGGGAAUCUUCCGCAAUGGGCGAAAGCAUGACGGAGCAACGCCGCGUGAGUGUUGAAGGUCUUCGGAUCGUAAAACUCUGUUAUUAGGGAAGAACAGAUGUGUAAGUAACUGUGCACAUCUUGACGGUACCUAAUCAGAAAGCCACGGCUAACUACGUG